CCCUUAGAUGUUCUGGGCUGCACGCGCGCUACACUGAUAAUGUCAACAAGCUUUACCUUGGCCGAUAGGUCUGGGCAAUCUUCGAACUAUUAUCGUGAUGGGGCUAGAUUAUUGCAACUAUUAAUCUUAAACGAGGAAUUCCUAGUAAGCGCGAGUCAUCAGCUCGCGUUGAUUACGUCCCUGCCCUUUGUACACACCGCCCGUCGCUCCUACCGAUUGGAUUGGCUGGUGAAGCGUUCGGAUUGUGGGUUCGGAGCGGUUCGCCGUUCUGGGCUUGCGAGAAGUUCGUUAAACCCUCCUAUCUAGAGGAAGGAGAAGUCGUAACA
rnacentral:rRNA from 1 species